UACGUAGGGGGCAAGCGUUGUCCGGAAUCAUUGGGCGUAAAGCGCUUGUAGGCGGCACGUCAAGUCGCGUGUGAAAUCCCCAGGCUUAACCCGGGAAGUGCGCGCGAAACUGACGAGCUUGAGUGCCGGAGAGGGUCGCGGAAUUCCCGGUGUAGAGGUGAAAUUCGUAGAUAUCGGGAGGAACACCAGUGGCGAAGGCGGCGACCUGGACGGACACUGACGCUGAGACGCGAAAGCGUGGGGAGCAAACAGG
rnacentral:rRNA from 1 species